CAUUUAUUUAUUUACACCGAUACAUCAUCUCGUAAGGGCUGAUGCUGUCUACUAAAAUUACAAAUAUACAAGAGUGGUCUGCCUACGGUAGAAGGAGCUUUCCUACGAUCGAGUGUUUGAUAUCUACCGGUACAUAACAUAUUUCAAGGUCCAUUAGUCAUGGAAUUCUGAUAUGAUUCUCCAUUUCAUUGAUAUGUUUCUGAUAAAUCCUCAAAAUUAAAUAAAUCAAUAAUCAAGCGCGAAAACGAAGUUAUUGGGACCCCGUUGGGAGGGGCUACACAGUUGGUUACCUCACAAUAAAACACGGCUUGUUUUAUUCACCGAGUCCAACAAUAAAUGGCCAUCAAAUCAACAUGCAACAUCAACCCAGUUAGUUCUCUUUGCGACAAAUUCGUCCCACGUCGCCUGACCAAGCAACGGCUACAUAUCUCGGCUACCUGUCACCCAUAACAAACACCACACAGCCUUGACGACCAACAACACGUCAACGCUGCUCGCUCGAGGGUGUUACUUGAGCACGUUUCCUUAAACCAGCCAGUCAAGUCUUUAAUGUUUCUCACCUCUCAACACGAUGUGACAUAUACGUGUAAAAAAUUAAAGCGCGCGAAAAUUUGAAUAAUACAUGCGUAAAAUAAUGUAAAAAAAGACCCGCGAAAAUUCAACCUCGCCAAGCCUACAAUAUUUUUUUUUUUGUCCGCAUAACGUAAAUAAAGUAUAGAAAAACACGUAUAUUUAGAUCAUGCAUGAAUACAUUGAUUUUCGUCCAUAUUACCAAAACAGUAUAUGAAAAAAAUGAAGAUAACAAAAAUAAUAACUGAUUCACGUUCAUACCACAAUAAUGUUGGGAAUUUUUAUAUCAUAUAGGAAUAGAUCUUCUCAAAUACCUGUGUGAGGAUAUUGUUAAGAAAGCACAAAUAUUUAGUCUCGCCAAGCUGAAAAAGUAAAAAACAAGCUUGUCUUCAUUUUACUUCCUUUAUUUCUUAUCUCCCCACUAGUUAAAAAAAAAAAAAAAUAAAUAACACAGCAAUCAAAAUGUGUGGAAUUUUAAAUCACAUAUAAACAAAUUGUCGUUUCUUACAUGACAAAAUAAAAAUAAAAAAUAAUAAUAAUAAUCAAAACAAGCAAACAUCUAGACAAAGUUAAGAAUUUCUGGGGAUAAUUUUUUUCUUACCUGCUAAAGUAUAAUUAAGGGAAAAAAUAAAAAAAAGAAAUGAGUGUUCAAGCAUUUAAGUAAUAGAGCAAUAUAUUAUUUCUUUGGGACAAUCAUAUCUUACUACCAAAGGAACAUCAAGCCAUUGUACAAAAAUAAAUGUAUAUAGUGAAGCACAGCGAUUCAACGGACAUACUCUUGAUUGUUUAUUAUUUUAUGGAUAACUGGAUAUGUAUUGAUAAAAAAAGAUGGGAAAUUCAUAUCCUCAUCCCAGUAGCAGUGGGGAUCAUGUUUCUUAAUGGUCCCUCCAAGCGAGAAAAAUGAGAAAAAAAUCACCCCUCACACAAACCAUUUCAUAACAUAUAUCAAAGCAUUUGUGAUCAGAUUAUGUAUCAUUUAUUUUGGGGGGUUUAUAUCAUGGGACAAAUUUGGCCCGUCACUGCUACACGGUAAAGCCACAAAUUUGGCCCGUCGAUACUACACGGUAAAGCCACAAAUUUGGCCCGUCACUGCUACCGGGUCAACGCCUUUUACAUUUUUUUUUUAUAAUUCUUUACAAUCUCUCCCUUUUUACAAAAACUGCACUUCCCAAAAUUAUGUAUAGGAAACAAAAUGAAUAAAAUUGAAUACUGGCCUUUUGUUCACUACCAUGCACAACUAAAGCUAAAUACUGGAAUGAAUAACUAAAUAUAUAACUAAAUACUGGAGCUUUUUUUCUUUUACAUAACUAAAAUGAUAUAACAAAAAUCUUAACCAUUUUCACAACUCCUUACAAUCUCCACCCAUUUCACAACUCUUAAACCUUUCCAUCCGUGACGCAGACAUUGGCGUUACAGUAUGGAAAGGGUCAAGAGGAAAUGGAAGAGGAUUAAUCCUCUUUUAAACCUCUCAAUCCUCCUCUAAAUUCCUCUUAAUCCCCUUCAAUUUUCUCUUAAGAGGUUUAAAAGAGGAUUAAGAGGAAAUGGAAAAGGAUUAAGAGGUUUAGAAGAGGACUAACCCUUUCCAUACAGUGACGUCGUUGGACACCCGUCACCAUCGCCGGAGUAAAGGAGUUAACAAUCUUCACCCAUUUCACAACUCUUUACAAUCUUCACCCAUUCAUUACAAUCUUCACCCAUUUCACAACUCAUUACAAUCUUCACCCAUUCAUUACAAUCUUCACCCAUUUCACAACUCAUUACAAUCUUCACCCAUUUCACAACUCUUUACAAUCCUCACCCAUUUCGCACCUUUUGCCACUCUUUGGGGAGGCGGUGGCUGAGUGGUCACCCCAUGGACGUGGCAAUCCCGGCAACCCAGGUUCAAGUUCCACCACGAAACACUGACAAUUUUCAACCAGCGCCGAGUGGCAGAUUACCCACAUGCUGUUCAGGUCUUCAAUCAAACCUAAUAUCAAUGAGAAGUGCUGUGAGGGUGGGGGGGAGGCAUGGGUUAAGCAAGUCAUACAUCACAGUACCCACUUAAAACAAAAUUCACCUGUCACUAACGGGCUGGGGCCAUCCACCCAGCCCCUCAAGAGAGCCUACUGGUGCUAUGGGUAAUGCAUAAAAAUAACCAUCCCCAUUCACAACUCAACAAUCCUUUUCACAUUUUUACAGUCUCUCCUAUUUCACAACUCAACACUUUUCCACUUCUUUGCUCUUUACAAUCCUCUCCCAUAUCAAAACUUAACAAUCUGUCCCAUUCUACAACUCUGUGCUUUUCAGAAUAGCUUACAGGUAAUAAAGCAUAUACGAAAUACAUAUUGGAGUGCUUGUUUCCCAUGGACAACCAGAAUAUGACAAACAAAUAAAAGAUAAAGCAUACUUGGGAGGAGGAGAAAUAAAGGUACAUCUCCUCCCGAAAUUGACCUCUCUUUCGGCCACCUCUUUUGAUUCUUUUUUGUAGGAGCAGCGAGUAGCAGGCUUUUUUUUUCAAUAAUGUUUCCUUUUUUUGUGCCCUUGAGCUGUCUCCUUUGUUGUAAAAAAAAAAAAAUGAAAGAGCAGAGGAGAAGCACAGAAAAUCAUAACCGAGAAUGCAUACGAUUUCAACCCUCACACAAAGCCAUUUUUUCUCAUCCUUUACAACCGUCGGCCUUUGCAAAACAACGCAACCCUUGAACGCAAACCUUACGGAACUAUGAGUAAAGUACAAAUAUAACCUAGGAGUGCCGGAAGAAGUACAAUGAGUAAAUAAUGCACCAUGGCUUAAUAAGAGGGGUUUGGUGAGCAUGUGUGGGAUUAAGCUGUGCAUCAGUAAAAAAUAAUGAAAGAGAGGAAAGAAUUUAUGACGCCCAUAUGUAUAAAAAAAAAAAAAUGUAUCUAGACAUAAACAAAUAAACAUGAAAUUAACUGGAAAUCUCUUUUGCUAGGAACUUAGAUAAAGAAACAGAAAAAAAAAUAUAGAAUAACUUUUUGUUGUUGCCAUUCUUUUGAUUUAGAGGGAAAUAUAUGCACCAAGAAUAAGUUACAGGAGAAAUAAACAUGAAAUUAAGUGGGACUCUUUUUAGGAACUUUGAGGUACAAAAUAGGAGAAUAUAAUACUAUACACCUGGAAGAAUACGCUUAAGUCUUUUGAUGCAGGGUAAAAUAUAUAUGCUGUAAGAUAUCAUUGACAAGAGUAAUGAACAGGAUUUUCUCUUAAGAACAUUGAAACAGAUAAAAAAUGUACAUGUAUACAACAAAUAUAAUGACUUUUACCAUUUUGCUGCAGAGGUAAGAAUGUGAAUGAUCAGUUACAAGAAAAUUAAUGAACAGGAUUUUCGCUUCCCAAGAACACUGAAAUACAUGACGACGGAAAAUAAAGAAAGAAAGAAAGAAAAAUAAACAUACAGAACAGCUUUUACAAUUUGAUGAAGGAAAAGAAU